rnacentral:tRNA from 1 species
UGCGGGGUCGUCUAAUUGGUAAGACUACCGACCGUCAAUCGGGUGAAUGCGGCUUCGAAUCCCGUCCCCGCAG